UCAUAGCAUAAUUUCGCACUUCUUUCGGAAACCAAACAUUAUGCAAAUUUGUGACAGAAACUGAAUCUGCAAAAUCCAGUGGGCUACUCCUCUCGGUCCUACAAUUUCACAACCAAUAUCGGGUUAACGAGGGAAUUGUUCCGUGAGACUCUAAUCCGGAAAGAGGAAAUACUCAAGUGCGACACCUUUAAGCGAACGAGGUUGAGCUGUGACGAGCACGGUGGGUGUUGAGCAGAGCUGGUAAAGAUUUGUGUUUGCUUU